CCCUUAGAUGUUCUGGGCCGCACGCGCGCUACACUGAUGCAUUCAACGAGCCUAUCCUUGACCGACAGGUCCGGGUAAUCUUUGAAUCUGCAUCGUGACGGGGAUAGAUUAUUGCAAUUAUUAAUCUUCAACGAGGAAUGCCUAGUAGGCGCAAGUCAUCAGCCUGCGUCGAUUACGUCCCUGCCCUUUGUACACACCGCCCGUCGCUACUACCGAUUGAAUGGUUUAGUGAGACCCUCGGAUUCGUCCCAGCACAGUGGGUUUCUGCUGAGCUGGUGCGCGGAGAAGACGGUCGAACUUGAUCAUUUAGAGGAAGUAAAAGUCGUAACA
rnacentral:rRNA from 1 species